GAUGAACGCUGGCGGCGUGCCUAAUACAUGCAAGUCGAGCGAACAGACGAGGAGCUUGCUCCUUUGACGUUAGCGGCGGACGGGUGAGUAACACGUGGGUAACCUACCUAUAAGACUGGGAUAACUUCGGGAAACCGGAGCUAAUACCGGAUAAUAUUUCGAACCGCAUGGUUCGAUAGUGAAAGAUGGCUUUGCUAUCACUUAUAGAUGGACCUGCGCCGUAUUAGCUAGUUGGUAAGGUAACGGCUUACCAAGGCAACGAUACGUAGCCGACCUGAGAGGGUGAUCGGCCACACUGGAACUGAGACACGGUCCAGACUCCUACGGGAGGCAGCAGUAGGGAAUCUUCCGCGAUGGGCGAAAGCCUGACGGAGCAACGCCGCGUGAGUGAUGAAGGUCUUCGGAUCGUAAAACUCUGUUAUUAGGGAAGAACAAACGUGUAAGUAACUGUGCACGUCUUGACGGUACCUAAUCAGAAAGCCACGGCUAACUACG
rnacentral:rRNA from 1 species